AAUAAGCGGAGGAAAAGAAACUAACAAGGAUUCCCCUAGUAACUGCGAGUGAAGCGGGAAAAGCUCAAAUUUAAAAUCUGGCGGUCUCUGGCCGUCCGAGUUGUAAUCUAGAGAAGUGUUAUCCGCGCUGGACCGUGUACAAGUCUCCUGGAAUGGAGCGUCAUAGAGGGUGAGAAUCCCGUCUUUGACACGGACUGCCAGGGCUUUGUGAUGCGCUCUCAAAGAGUCGAGUUGUUUGGGAAUGCAGCUCAAAAUGGGUGGUAAAUUCCAUCUAAAGCUAAAUAUUGGCGAGAGACCGAUAGCGAACAAGUACCGUGAGGGAAAGAUGAAAAGAACUUUGGAAAGAGAGUUAAACAGUACGUGAAAUUGCUGAAAGGGAAACGCUUGAAGUCAGUCGCGUUGGCCGGGGAUCAACCUUGCUUUUGCUGGGCGUACUUUCCGGUUGACGGGUCAGCAUCAAUUUUGACCGUUGGAUAAAGUCCAGGGGAAUGUGGCAUCUUCGGAUGUGUUAUAGCCCUUGGUCGCAUACAACGGUUGGGAUUGAGGAACUCAGCACGCCGCAAGGCCGGGUACUUGUACCACGUUCGUGCUUAGGAUGCUGGCAUAAUGGCUUUAAUCGACCCGUCUUGAAACACGGACCAAGGAGUCUAACAUGCCUGCGAGUGUUUGGGUGGAAAACUCGGACGCGUAAUGAAAGUGAAAGUUGAGAUCCCUGUCGUGGGGAGCAUCGACGCCCGGACCAGACCUUUUGUGACGGAUCCGCGGUAGAGCAUGUAUGUUGGGACCCGAAAGAUGGUGAACUAUGCCUGAAUAGGGUGAAGCCAGAGGAAACUCUGGUGGAGGCUCGUAGCGAUUCUGACGUGCAAAUCGAUCGUCAAAUUUGGGUAUAGGGGCGAAAGACUAAU
rnacentral:rRNA from 1 species